UACCAAGGCGACGAUCCAUAGCUGGUCUGAGAGGAUGAUCAGCCACAUUGGGACUGAGACACGGCCCAAACUCCUACGGGAGGCAGCAGUGGGGAAUAUUGGACAAUGGGCGCAAGCCUGAUCCAGCCAUGCCGCGUGAGUGAUGAAGGUCUUAGGAUUGUAAAGCUCUUUCACCGGGGACGAUAAUGACGGUACCCGGAGAAGAAGCCCCGGCUAACUUCGUGCCAGCAGCCGCGGUAAUACGAAGGGGGCUAGCGUUGUUCGGAAUUACUGGGCGUAAAGCGCACGUAGGCGGAUAUUUAAGUCAGGGGUGAAAUCCCGGGGCUCAACCCCGGAACUGCCUUUGAUACUGGGUAUCUUGAGUGUGGUAGAGGUGAGUGGAAUUGCGAGUGUAGAGGUGAAAUUCGUAGAUAUUCGCAGGAACACCAGUGGCGAAGGCGGCUCACUGGACCACAACUGACGCUGAGGUGCGAAAGCGUGGGGAGCAAACGGGAUUA
rnacentral:rRNA from 1 species